rnacentral:lncRNA from 1 species
AGAGGAGACAGAAAUUGGAGCUGAAGAGACCCUAGACUUGGGACAAAGAGCAACUCGAAGGCUCCAGGCUCCACAAAUGACAAAGUGCUUGAGGUUACAGAAAGAAGACUCAUAUUCUUGAGUCGUCUUGAGAGACUCAAGAGUAGAAAAUCCAAAGUGUACCUGGUGAAUUUCUCUACCUCCUCCAACCCAGAAUUCAACUGAGUUUGGAAUAUUCUAGAUUCUACUAAUGAAGGAAGAAAAAGACGGUUCCAAGACUGCGCGUUGCUCAAGGACACUAGGAAACCAUUCAAAGUACCUUACAACUGAAGUUCAAUAAAUAAAUUAUAAAUAA